GGCGAGGUGGUGCAGUGGUAGCACGCGUGAGGGGUGCUCACGAGACGAUGGUUCGAGUCCAUCUCUUGCUG
rnacentral:tRNA from 1 species